rnacentral:rRNA from 1 species
GACGUAGGGCGCGAGCGUUGUCCGGAUUUAUUGGGCGUAAAGAGCUCGUAGGCGGCUUGUUGCGUCGACUGUGAAAACCCGACGGCUUAACCGCGGGCUUGCAGUUGAUACGGGCAGGCUAGAGUUCGGUAGGGGAGACUGGAAUUCCUGGUGUAGCGGUGAAAUGCGCAGAUAUCAGGAGGAGCACCGGUGGCGAAGGCGGGUCUCUGGGCCGAUACUGACGCUGAGGAGCGAAAGCGUGGGGAGCGAACAGG